rnacentral:tRNA from 1 species
GGUUGGCUAGCUCAGUUGGUUAGAGCGUCGAGCUAAUAACUCGAAGGCCGUGGGUUCGAAACCCCCGCUGACCA